CUACGGGUUGCUCCAGUGGGGAAUAUUGCACAAUGGGGGAAACCCUGAUGCAGCAACGCCGCGUGGAGGAUGACGCAUUUCGGUGUGUAAACUCCUUUUAUAUAGGAAGAUAAUGACGGUACUAUAUGAAUAAGCACCGGCUAACUCCGUGCCAGCAGCCGCGGUAAUACGGAGGGUGCAAGCGUUACUCGGAAUCACUGGGCGUAAAGCGCGCGCAGGCGGCCCCUUAAGUUGGAUGUGAAAGCCUACGGCUUAACCGUAGAACUGCACCCAAAACUGAGGGGCGUGAGUCUGGGAGGGGAAGAUGGAAUUAGUUGUGUAGGGGUAAAAUCCGUAGAGAUAACUAGGAAUACCAAAAGCGAAGGCGAUCUUCUGGAACAGUACUGACGCUGAGGCGCGAAAGCGUGGGGAGCAAACAGGAUUAGAUACCCUAGUAGUC
rnacentral:rRNA from 1 species